UAACAAGGGAAGCCCAAUUUGAACUUGGAUCUUCCAGGCCAAAGUUCAGUGCUCAAACUGGCUCUUGCGUUCCCUUUCGUGCUUCCUCUGUGUUUCCAUAGAUGGACAUCUCCCCUAAAGCUAAUCUCAUUGGAUGGCCAUGGCAUGGUCGAAAGUCAUUUGGAUCCCAGAAGCCCAGCUAGAAAUGUGGCUGGAGAGGAUUUCCAAGGCAGCUUUGCUUCAGACAUUCAGGUUUUGCUACUAGCACAGCUCCAUAGAUAGAAAUGGGUACUGAGGAUUCCCUCGAGAGCUGAUUUCAUGCAUCCUUGGUGGAAGUGCCCUGCCGUGAUGUUGCUUUGGAGAAAC